rnacentral:miRNA from 1 species
AUGUGAAUCACCUGGACAUCUUGUUAAGAAAAUGCAGUUUUCUGUUUAGUAGGUCUGAGUGAGAUCUGAGAUUCUGCUUUUCUAACAAGCUCCCAGGGGAUGUUGAG